rnacentral:rRNA from 1 species
AGCGAACGCUGGCGGCAGGCCUAACACAUGCAAGUCGAACGAACCCUUCGGGGUUAGUGGCGGACGGGUGAGUAACACGUGGGAACGUGCCUUUAGGUUCGGAAUAACUCAGGGAAACUUGUGCUAAUACCGAAUGUGCCCUUCGGGGGAAAGAUUUAUCGCCUUUAGAGCGGCCCGCGUCUGAUUAGCUAGUUGGUGGGGUAAUGGCUCACCAAGGCUACGAUCAGUAGCUGGUCUGAGAGGAUGACCAGCCACAUUGGGACUGAGACACGGCCCAAACUCCUACGGGAGGCAGCAGUGGGGAAUCUUGCGCAAUGGGCGAAAGCCUGACGCAGCCAUGCUGCGUGGAUGAUGAAGGUCUUAGGAUUGUAAAAUCCUUUCACCGGUGAAGAUAAUGACUGUAGCCGGAGAAGAAGCCCCGGCUAACUUCGUGCCAGCCGCCGCCGUAAAAC